ACCAAAACAACAAAAAAA
rnacentral:sRNA from 1 species